UAUUCUUCACCGCUGACCACCAUUUACGAGAAUCGGACUGUUGAACGCCCGCGAUACUUUUAUUGUAGUAAUUUAGUCUUGCUUUUUUGCAAAGUGCAUUGACUUUGUUUCGAUAGAAUCUGAACAUCAGGUUAUUGCCAGCCGCCCAUGCUGUUUGCCGCUUGGAAAUAAGAGAUUUUAUUUCGGAAGUAAUCCAAGGCUUGUCACUAGAAUCAAUUUUGAUUUGUUUCCAAG